rnacentral:misc_RNA from 1 species
AAGUCGUAACAAGGUUUCCGUAGGUGAACCUGCGGAAGGAUCAUUAUUGAAUAAACUUGGUGGGUUGUAGCUGGCUCUUAGGAGCAUGUGCACGCUCAUCAUCUUUAUACAUCCACCUGUGCACUAUCUGUAGUCUUGAGAGAUGAGGAGCGGAUAUGAGGAUUGCAUUCAUUUGCUCUUCUCAAAUUAAUCGUGAAUUGUCUCUUCAAGUCUAUGUAUUUCAUAUACCACGUAGUAUGUUGCAGAAUGUAAUCAUAUGUGGGCCUUUGUGCCUAUAUAAAACCUUAUACAACUUUCAGCAACGGAUCUCUUGGCUCUC